rnacentral:tRNA from 1 species
GGCUAAUUCCAUUAACUCUUCCCUACUCUUUUCUUUUGAUAGGAGAGUUKUUAAAACCAGUGUUAUUUUUGUAAGUUUAAGAGAAGUUUGUGUAUUGAAUUUUUUAUUUUUAAUAUUAAAGAGCUUUGUUAAACUUAGACUUAAGUUUAGGUCAUUUUGGGGGUUUAGCUCAGUUGGCUAGAGCAUCGGCUUUGCAAGCCGAGGGUCAAGGGUUCGAGUCCCUUAACCUCCAUUGGGCUUAUGUCCUAAAUCGUAAUUAAGUAUGUUUUUAAGUAACUUUGUUAAAGUAAUUGUUGGAACGUGAAACAGAGGAAGUUAAAAUUUCUGGGUUAAGUUGAGAUCUGUUGAUAUUAAGAAGAAUCUCUAGAAGCAAAAGCAAGCUUUCGAUAAAACCCGAAGUUGUUUCGCUAAAGUGCAAGGAUUAAACAGGAUUGUAUUUUCCAGUAGCCUAUUUUAUAAAUGAUCUGCAUUUAGUAAAUAGUUUUUAGUUAAGAAAUAAUGUAGAUUGCUAAGUGUGAUGCCUGAAAGAAGGACAAGUAUUGUAGCGAGCCUAAAUCCUUGUUGUCGUUGCCAGUAUUUAGUGGUAGGGAUUCGGAUAAGACUGCCAUUUAUAAGUUGGAGGAAGGCAAAGAUUGCAUUAAAUCGUUAUCGCUCUUAUGUUUUAGGUUACAAGUUUGCCACAAUAACCCAAAAAAGCUAAGCAAAAUGCUAUAAAGCAGAKKUCAGUUUGGAUUUGCCCGACACUCAAUGGC